UCAAACUUGGUCAUUUAGAGGAAGUAAAAGUCGUAACAAGGUUUCCGUAGGUGAACCUGCGGAAGGAUCAUUAUCGAGUUUUGAAACGGGUUGUCGCUGGCCUUUCACGAGGCAUGUGCACGCCUGGCUCAUCCACUCUUCUACCUCUGUGCACUUUUUGUAGGAAGUCUUUGGUUUUGAAAGCUGGCGUAAGUCAGUCGAUUGCUGGGACUUUCUAUGUUUUUAUUACUACAAACGCUUCAGUUAUAGAAUGUCAUACUUGCGAAUAACGCAUUUAUAUACAACUUUCAGCAACGGAUCUCUUGGCUCUCGCAUCGAUGAAGAACGCAGC
rnacentral:misc_RNA from 1 species